AACGCUGGCGGCGUGCCUAACACAUGCAAGUCGAACGCGAAAGUCCCGCUAGGGAUUAGUAGAGUGGCAAACGGGUGAGUAACGCGUGGGUGACCUGCCUUCGAGCGGGGGAUAACGUUUCGAAAGGAACGCUAAUACCGCAUGAUGUCUUGCCUUUGAAGAGGUGGCGACCAAAGCCGGGGAUCGCAAGACCUGGCACUUGAAGAGGGGCCCGCGUCCGAUUAGCUAGUUGGUGGGGUAAUGGCUCACUAAGGCUCCGAUCGGUAUCCGGCCUGAGAGGGCGGACGGACACACUGGGAUUGAGACACGGCCCAGACUCCUACGGGAGGCAGCAGUGGGGAAUUGUUCGUAAUGGGCGCAAGCCUGACGACGCAACGCCGCGUGGAGGAUGAAGACCUUUGGGUCGUAAACUCCUUUCGAUCGAGACGAAUGGCCUUCGGGUGAACAAUUCGGAGGAAUGACGGUACCGAGAGAAGAAGCCCCGGCUAACUCCGUGCCAUCAGCCGCGGUAAUAAGGU
rnacentral:rRNA from 1 species